CGGGGCGCGGGCUGGCGCUGCGCAGCCGCGGGGCGGCAUCCGCGCAUGCGGGGCUCACUCGGCUGCAGCCGGCGCCUACUGCCACUCCCGGGAGCAUGAAGGACCGAACCCAGGAGCUCCGCACGGCCAAAGACAGCGAUGACGAUGACGACGUCACUGUCACCAUGGACCGAGACCGCUUCAUGGAUGAGUUCUUCGAACAGGUGGAAGAGAUCCGGGGCUUUAUCGACAAGAUCGCCGAAAACGUGGAGGAGGUGAAGCGGAAACACAGCGCCAUCCUGGCCUCCCCCAACCCGGACGAGAAGACCAAGGAGGAACUGGAAGAGCUCAUGUCCGACAUCAAGAAAACGGCAAACAAGGUUCGCUCCAAGUUAAAGAGCAUCGAGCAGAGCAUCGAGCAGGAGGAAGGUCUGAACCGCUCCUCCGCCGACCUGAGGAUCCGGAAGACGCAGCACUCCACGCUGUCGCGAAAGUUUGUGGAGGUCAUGUCCGAAUACAACGCCACGCAGUCUGACUACCGAGAACGCUGCAAAGGUCGCAUCCAGAGGCAGCUGGAGAUCACCGGCAGGACCACGACCAGUGAGGAGUUGGAAGACAUGCUGGAGAGCGGAAAUCCUGCCAUAUUCGCCUCUGGGAUCAUCAUGGACUCCAGCAUCUCGAAGCAGGCUCUGAGUGAGAUCGAGACCAGACACAGUGAGAUCAUCAAGCUGGAGAACAGCAUCCGGGAGCUCCACGAUAUGUUCAUGGACAUGGCCAUGUUGGUGGAGAGCCAGGUGAGUGCCCUCGUCGCCGAUGUUAGGACCUCCGGCUCCCAGCAGCAUCCAGGACCACACUCACCCCCUUCCCUUUUCACCCAACACGCUGCUCUGCCCGGGAGGGACAGUGUCUUCAGGGUACUUUCCCGAAUCCCUACCCUCAGCUCCCUUCUGGUUCUGAGGAGGGAGGCCUGGACCUUGGGUCCCCCUGGUCCUGCAGGGGGAGAUGAUUGACAGGAUCGAGUACAAUGUGGAGCACGCUGUGGACUACGUGGAGAGGGCUGUGUCUGACACCAAGAAGGCCGUCAAGUACCAGAGCAAGGCGCGCAGGAAGAAGAUCAUGAUCAUCAUUUGCUGUGUGAUUCUGGGCAUCGUCAUCGCCUCCACCAUCGGGGGCAUCUUUGCAUAGAGACCGGCCCCACCCACCUCUCCACUCUGGAUGGGUCUCCCUGAGGAGGCCCCUGGCUGCUGCGUCUGGCCGGGAGCCCUUCCCCUCCCCUCCCACCCUGCUCCCUCUCUGCCACGAGGCUCCCGUCCCCACCACCCUGCCCCAAGCCGUGUCGUGUGCAUGAUCUUGUGACAGUGUGCGUCUGUUCAGGAGGCAGAGGGGAGCAGGAUCGGGAACGGCCAGAGGGGGCUGGGUUACAGGUCAGUGUGGGCAAGACUUGGGCCCUGGCCAGGUCCACCUUUCUUCAGGCCCGAGGUCUACCCUCCUCUGGGACUCGGGCUCCUUUCUGGACCGCAACCUUGCCCUCACCUGCCCUGCCCUCUGGCUUCUUCAGCUCUCCCCACCAUGCCAAGGCACCUGGAGGGUGGGGACCAGCUGGUCACAUGGUGCUGCUUUUCAGGUUAGGGGAGAGGAUGUCCCAAGGGAUAGCCCAGCACUGGAGUUCUUGGUGAGCUUAACCACUGCCAGGAGGCUCAGGGGCCAUGGCUGCUGGUGUGGUAGGAACACCCAGUGUCCCCACUUGGAGCAAAGCCUGACAGUGUCUCUGGCCUCAGCUGCCCGUACCACAGCCCUGGGGGUCAUGUCCCUGAGCUGGGCCUCAGCCUAGUGGACUUGCGCAGGAAGUUUGGUGGGACCCUCUCCAGCCUUGCUUGUAGCUGAGAGGUGGAGCAGACCCCAGGCCUCUGCCCACAGUCUCUAACAGGCAUGUGGAGUCGCCGCGGCCAGAGUUGCAUGUUGGGGACGUGGUCCCCUGCCCUCUCUAUGCUCCGUAAAGCCAGGUGUCACUUUGGGCCUGCAGUCUCGCCCUGCUCUGUCUCCCACUGAUGUGCCACGUGGUGUCAGGUGUCCUGGAUGCAGUAUUCAGCAGCCAGCUGGGGAGGGGGGGGGCCCCCACUUCUCUCCCCUGCCAUCUUGGGGCUUCUCAGAGUCAAAAAAAAAAAAUUGUACCCCCUGCCCCAGGAACCCUUUCUCGUGCACAGGCCAGGAGUGUGCAUGCGUGUGCAUGCCGCGGGAGUUGGGGCCGUGUCUGUGUGCCCCCGUCCCUCAGCUUUGCUCCUGCCCAGUGACUGACCACCGUCAUGCUGCCUUCUCUCACGGCCCCUCCCCCCACCCCUUCACCAAAGGUCUUGGUACAACCAGCUGCCCAUUUUGUGAGAUUUUUAUGUAGAAUAAACAUUUGUAUCUGUA